UACGUAGGAGGCGAGCGUUGUCCGGAGUUACUGGGCGUAAAGGGUGCGCAGGCGGUGGCCCGCGUGGGCGGUGAAAGCUCCUGGCUCAACUGGGAGAGGGCCGUCCAGACGGGGUCACUUGAGGGGCGGAGAGGGGCGUGGAAUUCCGGGUGGAGCGGUGAAAUGCGUAGAGAUCGGGAGGAACAUCUGUGGCGAAGGCGGCCAUCUGGACCAGCACUGACACUGAGGCACGAAAGCGUGGGGAGCAAACAGG
rnacentral:rRNA from 1 species